rnacentral:rRNA from 1 species
AGAAUUGAGGGGUGGUGGAGCGGGGUUAGAAGGAGGGGGGGAGUGGUGGUCGGGUUUAUAGGGGGUAAGUGGCUGGUAGGCGGCUUGUUGCUCCGGCUGUGAAGGCCCACGGCUUGACUGUGGGUUGGCAGCUGAUACGGGCAGGCUGGAGUUCGGUAGGGGAGACUGGAAUUCCUAGGGUAGCGGUGAAAUGCGCAGAUAUCAGGAGGAACACCGGUGGCGAAGGCGGGUCUCUGGGCCGAUACUGACGCUGAGGAGCGAAAGCGUGGGGAGCGAACAGGAUUAGAUACCCCAGUAGUC